rnacentral:ncRNA from 10 species
AUGCUGAAUCUUGGUGGGGAAUCAAUGUGUAAAUCGUUGACUGUACCUGCAACCGUAAAGUCGGAGUGCCACCCAGCAAGUCCGUUGAUGAAUGAAGGCCAGGAAAAGUCUAGUUCUUCUAAUAUUUUA